GCUCCAGACUCCUACGGGAGGCAGCAGUGGGGAAUAUUGGGCAAUGGAGGAAACUCUUACCCAGCAAUGCCGCGUGAGUGAAGAAGGUCUUCGGAUUGUAAAGCUCUUUGAUUGGGGAUGAAUAAAUGACGGUACCCAAAGAACAAGCCCCGGCUAACUACGUGCCAGCAGCCGCGGUAAUACGUAGGGGGCAAGCGUUAUCCGGAAUUAUUGGGCGUAAAGAGUACGUAGGUGGUUUUGUAAGCGCGGGGUGAAAGGCAGUGGCUUAACCAUUGUAAGCCUUGCGAACUGCAAGACUUGAGUGCAGGAGAGGAAAGCGGAAUUCCUAGUGUAGCGGUGAAAUGCUUAGAUAUUAGGAGGAACACCAGUGGCGAAGGCGGCUUUCUGGACUGUAGCUGACACUGAGGUACGAAAGCGUGGGGAGCAAACAGGAUUAGAUACCCCAGUAC
rnacentral:rRNA from 1 species